UUCUAUCUCAUUAAUCGAAUUGGCCGAAUUUAAGUAGACCAUUACGAAAUGCGAAUGGCAUGAAUAGAAGAAGAAGACUAAUUCGCGAAGACAAAGCAUAAGAUUGGUUCAGUUAAUUAAAUAAAGCCUUAAAAUACUAGCUAAAGGUUGGAUGCAUUGAGAGUCUAUUCAUCUAUGAUAAGCUAUAUCGCCCAACGAGAGGAAUCACUGGACCUGCGUACCAUUAGACUGCACCGCAAAUCCCCAGAGUACACAUAAGAAACCCGGAACAGGGCGUUGCCUUGUGGCUGUGGCUGUUUAAAUAGAGUCUCACAGCAGGUGCAUUGUGUUGUGGUCACCUGGCUAAGGUAUCUGCUUUUAAAAGUCUGCCUGCUAUCGAGUUACUCGAUGGCAGUAGCACUCGGAAAUGGGUUUUCCCACUGACACAGCCAGGCAGACGCCUCUCUCUCUCUCUCUCCCUCGCUCUUUGAGCAAUAAGCCACUUUGGAUCAUGAGCAACGACAAUGAUAUAUGUAUAGUAUAGUAUAGAAAUUAUAUUUUGAUGUGUCAAAUCUGAAUAAA